rnacentral:rRNA from 1 species
UGGCCUACGGGACGCAGCAGUCGGGAAUGUUGCGCAAUGGAGGAAACUCUGACGCAGUGACGCCGCGUAUAGGAUGAAGGUUUUCGGAUUGUAAACUAUUGUCAACAGGGAAGAAAAAGACAGUACCUGAAGAGGAAGCCCCGGCUAACUAUGUGCCAGCAGCCGCGGUAAUACAUAGGGGGCGAGCGUUAUCCGGAUUUAUUGGGUGUAAAGGGUGCGUAGACGGGAAGGCAAGUUAGUUGUGAAAUCCCUCGGCUUAACUGAGGAACUGCAACUAAAACUAUCUUUCUUGAGUGCGGGAGAGG